rnacentral:rRNA from 1 species
CAUCCAACUAACGAGGCAGAGAUGCGUCAGGUGCCGUUCGGGGAAAAGUUGAGACAGGUGGUGCAUGGUUGUCGUCAGCUCGUGUCGUGAGAUGUUGGGUAAGUCCCGCAACGAGCGCAACCCUUAUUGUCAGUUGCUACGCAAGAGCACUCUGGCGAGACUGCCGUUGACGAAACGGAGGAAGGUGGGGACGACGUCAAAUCAUCAUGCCCCUUAUGUCCUGGGCUACACACGUAAUACAAUGGCGAUCAACAAAGGGAAGCGAAGCCGCGAGGCAGAGCAAAUCCCCAAAAGUCGUCUCAGUUCGGAUUGCAGGCUGCAACUCGCCUGUAUGAAGUCGGAAUUGCUAGUAAUCGUGGAUCAGCAUGCCACGGUGAAUACGUUCCCGGGCCUUGUACACACCGCCCGUCACACCAUGAGAGCCGGGAACACCCGAAGUCCGUAGUCUAACCGCAAGGGGGACGCGGCCGAAGGUGGGUUGGUAAUGGGGGAAGUCGUAACAAGGUAACCUA